AUUGAACGCUGGCGGCAGGCUUAACACAUGCAAGUCGAACGAGUGGCGGACGGGUGAGUAAUGCUUGGGAAUCUAGCUUAUGGAGGGGGAUAACUACGGGAAACUGUAGCUAAUACCGCGUACCAUAGGAUGAGCCCAAGUGGGAUUAGGUGGUUGGUGAGGUAAAGGCUCACCAAGCCGACGAUCUCUAGCUGGUAUGAGAGGAUGACCAGCCAAACUGGGACUGAGACACGGCCCAGGCUCCUACGGGGGGCAGGAGGGGGGAAUUAUGCCAAAUGGGGCGAACCCUGCGCAGCCCUGCCGCGGGGAUGGAAGAGGCCUUCGGGUUGUAAAGUUCUUUCGGUUGGGAGGAGUUUACUACAGGAGAAGCACCGGCUAACUCCGUGCCAACAGCCGCGGUAAUUC
rnacentral:rRNA from 1 species